rnacentral:rRNA from 1 species
GCAGGCCUAACACAUGCAAGUCGAGCGGUAGAGAGAAGCUUGCUUCUCUUGAGAGCGGCGGACGGGUGAGUAAUGCCUAGGAAUCUGCCUGGUAGUGGGGGAUAACGUUCGGAAACGGACGCUAAUACCGCAUACGUCCUACGGGAGAAAGCAGGGGACCUUCGGGCCUUGCGCUAUCAGAUGAGCCUAGGUCGGAUUAGCUAGUUGGUGAGGUAAUGGCUCACCAAGGCGACGAUCCGUAACUGGUCUGAGAGGAUGAUCAGUCACACUGGAACUGAGACACGGUCCAGACUCCUACGGGAGGCAGCAGUGGGGAAUAUUGGACAAUGGGCGAAAGCCUGAUCCAGCCAUGCCGCGUGUGUGAAGAAGGUCUUCGGAUUGUAAAGCACUUUAAGUUGGGAGGAAGGGUUGUAGAUUAAUACUCUGCAAUUUUGACGUUACCGACAGAAUAAGCACCGGCUAACUCUGUGCCAGCAGCCGCGGUAAUACAGAGGGUGCAAGCGUUAAUCGGAAUUACUGGGCGUAAAGCGCGCGUAGGUGGUUUGUUAAGUUGGAUGUGAAAUCCCCGGGCUCAACCUGGGAACUGCAUUCAAAACUGACUGACUAGAGUAUGGUAGAGGGUGGUGGGAAUUUCCUGUGUAGCGGUGAAAUGCGUAGAUAUAGGAAGGAACACCAGUGGCGAAGG